rnacentral:hammerhead_ribozyme from 1 species
AUCGAGCUGACGAGUCUCAAAUGGGACGAAACGCACCUCCUGGAU